rnacentral:rRNA from 1 species
AGCGCAGGCGGGAAGACAAGUUGGAAGUGAAGUCUAUGGGCUCAACCCAUAAACUGCUUUCAAAACUGUUUUUCUUUGAGUAGUGCAGAGGUAGGCGGAAUUCCCGGUGUAGCGGUGGAAUGCGUAGAUAUCGGGAGGAACACCAGUGGCGAAGGCGGCCUACUGGGCACCAACUGACGCUGAGGCUCGAAAGUGUGGGUAGCAAAACA